rnacentral:rRNA from 1 species
AGUGAACGCUGGCGGUAGGCCUAACACAUGCAAGUCGAACGGCAGCACAGUAAGAGCUUGCUCUUACGGGUGGCGAGUGGCGGACGGGUGAGGAAUACAUCGGAAUCUACUUUUUCGUGGGGGAUAACGUAGGGAAACUUACUCUAAUACCGCAUACGACCUACGGGUGAAAGCAGGGGAUCUUCGGACCUUGCGCGAUUGAAUGAGCCGAUGUCGGAUUAGCUAGUUGGCGGGGUAAAGGCCCACCAAGGCGACGAUCCGUAGCUGGUCUGAGAGGAUGAUCAGCCACACUGGAACUGAGACACGGUCCAGACUCCUAAGGGAGGCAGCAGUGGGGAAUAUUGGACAAUGGGCGCAAGCCUGAUCCAGCCAUACCGCGUGGGUGAAGAAGGCCUUCGGGUUGUAAAGCCCUUUUGUUGGGAAAGAAAAGCAGCAGGUUAAUACCCCGCUGUUCUGACGGUACCCAAAGAAUAAGCACCGGCUAACUUCGUG